rnacentral:rRNA from 1 species
CUCGUAGGCGGUUCGUCGCGUCCGGUGUGAAAGUCCAUCGCUUAACGGUGGAUCUGCGCCGGGUACGGGCGGGCAGGAGUGCGGUAGGGGAGACUGGAAUUCCCGGUGUAACGGUGGAAUGUGUAGAUAUCGGGAAGAACACCAAUGGCGAAGGCAGGUCUCUGGGCCGUUACUGACGCUGAGGAGCGAAAGCGUGGGGAGCGAACA